GCAGGCUUAACACAUGCAAGUCGAGCGGAAACGAUGAUAGCUUGCUAUCAGGCGUCGAGCGGCGGACGGGUGAGUAAUACUUAGGAAUCUACCUAGUAGUGGGGGAUAGCACGGGGAAACUCGUAUUAAUACCGCAUACGACCUACGGGAGAAAGGGGGCAGUUUACUGCUCUCGCUAUUAGAUGAGCCUAAGUCGGAUUAGCUAGAUGGUGGGGUAAAGGCCUACCAUGGCGACGAUCUGUAGCUGGUCUGAGAGGAUGAUCAGCCACACCGGGACUGAGACACGGCCCGGACUCCUACGGGAGGCAGCAGUGGGGAAUAUUGGACAAUGGGGGAAACCCUGAUCCAGCCAUGCCGCGUGUGUGAAGAAGGCCUUUUGGUUGUAAAGCACUUUAAGCAGUGAAGAAGACUCCGUGGUUAAUACCCACGGACGAUGACAUUAGCUGCAGAAUAAGCACCGGCUAACUCUGUGCCAGCAGCCGCGGUAAUACAGAGGGUGCAAGCGUUAAUCGGAAUUACUGGGCGUAAAGGGAGCGUAGGUGGCUCUAUAAGUCAGAUGUGAAAUCCCCGGGCUCAACCUGGGAACUGCAUCUGAAACUGUAGAGCUAGAGUAUGUGAGAGGAAGGUAGAAUUCCAGGUGUAGCGGUGAAAUGCGUAGAGAUCUGGAGGAAUACCGAUGGCGAAGGCAGCCUUCUGGCAUAAUACUGACACUGAGGCUCGAAAGCGUGGGUAGCAAACAGGAUUAGAUACCCUGGUAGUCCACGCCGUAAACGAUGUCUACUAGUCGUUGGGUCCCUUGAGGACUUAGUGACGCAGCUAACGCAAUAAGUAGACC
rnacentral:rRNA from 1 species